GCCUGGCUGGCUCAGUGGGAAGAGCACGGGACUCUUGAUCUUGGGAUCGAGAGUUUGAGCCCCAUGUUGGGUA
rnacentral:tRNA from 1 species